AGUCGAGCGAGAAGGUUUUUAGCUUGCUAGAAACUGGACAGCGGCGCACGGGUGAGUAACGCGUACGCAAUCUACCUCAUAGAGGGGAAUAGCCCCGGGAAACUGGGAUUAAUGCCCCAUGGCACUUAGAAGUGGCAUCGCUUUUAAGUUAAAGAUCCGUCGCUAUGAGAUGAGCGUGCGUGCUAUUAGCUAGUUGGUAAGGUAACGGCUUACCAAGGCUACGAUAGCUAGGGGGCGUGAGAGCGUGACCCCCCACACGGGUACUGAGACACGGACCCGACUCCUACGGGAGGCAGCAGUAAGGAAUAUUGGACAAUGGGCGCAAGCCUGAUCCAGCCAUCCCGCGUGGAGGAUGACGGCCCUACGGGUUGUAAACUCCUUUUAUUUGAGAAGAAACGCCUGGAUUUAUCCGGGCCUGACGGUAUCUUAUGAAUAAGCACCGGCUAACUCCGUGCCAGCAGCCGCGGUAAUGCGGAGGGUGCAAGCGUUAUCCGGAAUCACUGGGUUUAAAGGGUGCGUAGGCGGUUAGUUAAGUCAGAGGUGAAAGCCCGGCGCUCAACGUCGGAAUUGCCUUUGAUACUGGCUAACUUGAAUCAGGUUGAGGUGGGCGGAAUGUGGCAUGUAGCGGUGAAAUGCAUAGAUAUGCCAUAGAACACCAAUUGCGAAGGCAGCUCACUGGCCCUGCAUUGACGCUGAGGCACGAAAGCGUGGGGAGCGAACAGGAUUAGAUACCCUGGUAGUCCACGCCCUAAACGAUGCUUACUCGAUAUUCGGUCGUAAGACGGAGUGUCCAAGGUAAACCGAUAAGUAAGCCACCUGGGGAGUA
rnacentral:rRNA from 1 species